CAGCAGCCGCGGGAAUACAGAGGGUGCGAGCGUUAAUCGGAUUUACUGGGCGUAAAGCGUGCGUAGGCGGCUUCUUAAGUCGGAUGUGAAAUCCCUGAGCUUAACUUAGGAAUUGCAUUCGAUACUGGGAAGCUAGAGUAUGGGAGAGGAUGGUAGAAUUCCAGGUGUAGCGUUGAAAUGCGUAGAGAUCUGGAGGAAUACCGAUGGCGAAGGCAGCCAUCUGGCCUAAUACUGACGCUGAGGUACGAAAGCAUGGGGAGCAAACAGGAUUAGAUACCCGCGUAGUCCCUGUCUCUUAUAC
rnacentral:rRNA from 1 species